CUUAGCCGAAUGGUUAAGGGUGCCGGCCUCUGAUGCAUAAGGUCCCGGGUUCGAUUCUUGGCA
rnacentral:tRNA from 11 species